rnacentral:rRNA from 1 species
CAAUAGCGUAUAUUAAAGUUGUUGCAGUUAAAAAGCUCGUAGUUGGAUUUCUGGGAGGGUGCCGCCGUCCGGCGUGUCCGUGUGCAGUGGCGCCCUUCCAUCCUUCUGUUAGCGUCUCUUGGCAUUCAUUUGCUGGUGGCGGGCUCAGAUAUUUUACCUUGAGAAAAUUAGAGUGUUUCAGGCAGGCUAGGCCGGAAUACAUUAGCAUGGAAUAAUGGAAUAGGACUACGGUCUCUUUGUUGGUUUGAGGGACUGCGGUAAUGAUUAAUAGGGAUAGUUGGGGGCAUUAGUAUUUAAUUGUCAGAGGUGGAAUUCUCAGAUUUGUUAAAGACUAACUUAUGCGAAAGCAUUUGCCAAGGAUGUUUUCAUUA